rnacentral:rRNA from 1 species
UACGUAAGUGGCAAGCGUUGUCCGGAUUUACUGGGCGUAAAGAGCGCGCAGGCGGUCAUUCAAGUCGAGUGUGAAAGCCCCCGGCUCAACUGGGGAGGGUCACUCGAUACUGUUUGACUCGAAGGCGGGAGAGGGAAGUGGAAUUCCCGGUGUAGUGGUGAAAUGCGUAGAUAUCGGGAGGAACACCAGUGGCGAAGGCGACUUCCUGGCCCGUUCUUGACGCUGAGGCGCGAAAGCUAGGGGAGCAAACGGG